rnacentral:ncRNA from 1 species
GGGUUUUUUUUCUUUCCCCACCACUCCAAAUGGCCCGGACACAGACAGGAUUGACAGAUUGAGAGCUCUUUAUUGAUACCGUGGGUGGUGCUGCAAGGCCGUUCUUAGUUGGUGGAGCGACUUGUGUGGUUAAUUCCAAUAACGAACGAGAGGCUGGCAUGCUAACUAGUUAUGCGACCCCCGAGCAGUUGGUGUCCAGCUUCUUAGGGGGACAAGUGGCGUUCAGCCACCCAAGAUUGAGCAAUAACAGGUCUGUGAUGCCCUUAGAUGUCUGGGGCUGUGUGUGCGCUACACUGACUGGCUCAGCUUGUGCCUACCUGUUGAACCCCAUUCGUGAUGGGGAUCGGGGGUUGCAAUUUGUCCCCAUGUCAUAAG